GAACCUAGCGCUCCAACUGCUCUGCAUCUGUUUCCUCUCUGGCCUCUUCUGUGAAAGCCACAAACAAGAGGAAUCAUGGAGCGACAAAGCCUACAAUUUCAUCUUUUGGGCAGUAAUCAAACAUCUAAUUAUAAGGACAAGCCUUGGAGGAGCAAGGCUCUUUGCUUCUUUCUUUGUUUCUUUGCCAUCUCAAUUGUAGGCCUUAUAAUUGGAGGCAAUUUAACUACCUGGGUAUUACGAGGAGAAAACAACUUCAAUGAGAGGAUUAGAGUUAAUGAUGCUGAAAUUGUGGAGUCAGAGCAAGGAGUUGUCGCUGCUGAUGAUGGCCGAUGUUCUGAAAUCGGUGCAUCAAUGCUUAGACAAGGUGGGCAUGCUGUUGAUGCUUCAGUGGCAACAGCAUUGUGUGUUGGAGUUGUUAAUCCAAUGGCGAGUGGAAUAGGAGGUGGAGCUUUCAUGAUUGUCAGGUCAUCAUCGACUUCGAAAACUCAAGCUUUUGACAUGAGGGAAACUGCUCCCUUAGCUGCUUCAAAGAAUAUGUAUGCAAACAACAUUCAAAACAAGUAUUCAGGUCCACUGUCAAUUGGAGUUCCUGGUGAGAUUGCUGGCCUUCAUGAAGCUUGGUUACAGCAUGGACGUUUGGCUUGGAGGAAUUUAUUCCAACCUGCCAUAAAGCUUUCCAGAGAUGGUUUUAUCAUUGCUCCUUAUCUCGGAUUGGCAAUAGCUUACGGUGCAGAAAAAAUUAUGAAUGAUCCUGGAUUGCGGAAAGUGUUUGCACCAAAUGGGAAGUUGUUACAAGCUGGUGAUAGAUGUUAUAAUGUGGAGCUAGCCCGGAGCCUAGAGGCAAUAGCAGAACAAGGACCACAAGCCUUCUAUAAUGGCACUGUUGGUGAGCAGUUGGUGAAGGAUGUAAUAAAGGCUGGUGGGAUAUUAACAAUGGAGGAUUUAAGGAGUUACAAGGUAGAAAUAAUGGAUGCAAUGGCUG
rnacentral:misc_RNA from 1 species